rfam:Salmo salar isolate Sally breed double haploid chromosome ssa21, whole genome shotgun sequence.
UCCCAUGUGGCUCAGUUGAUAGAGCAUGGUACUUGCAAUGCCAGGUUUGUUGGUUCGAUUCCCACAGGGGAC